rnacentral:rRNA from 1 species
ACACAUGCAAGUCGAACGGAGUUAUUUUGGCAGAAGCCUUCGGGUGGACGCUGAUAUAACUUAGUGGCGAACGGGUGAGUAACACGUGAGCAACCUGCCCUUCAGAGGGGGACAACAGUUGGAAACGACUGCUAAUACCGCAUAAGACCACGGUGUGGCAUCACACAGAGGUCAAAGGAGAAAUCCGCUGAAGGAUGGGCUCGCGUCCAAUUAGCUAGAUGGUGAGGUAACGGCCCACCAUGGCGACGAUUGGUAGCCGGACUGAGAGGUUGAUCGGCCACAUUGGGACUGAGACACGGCCCAGACUCCUACGGGAGGCAGCAGUGGGGAAUAUUGCACAAUGGAGGAAACUCUGAUGCAGCGACGCCGCGUGAGGGAAGAAGGUCUUCGGAUUGUAAACCUCUGUUGUCAGGGACGAUAAUGACGGUACCUGACGAGGAAGCCACGGCUAACUACGUGCCAGCAGCCGCGGUAAAACGUAGGUGGCAAGCGUUGUCCGGAAUUACUGGGUGUAAAGGGAGCGCAGGCGGGAGAGCAAGUUGGAAGUGAAAUCUGUGGGCUCAACUCACAAAUUGCUUUCAAAACUGUUUUUCUUGAGUGGUGUAGAGGUAGGCGGAAUUCCCGGUGUAGCGGUGGAAUGCGUAGAUAUCGGGAGGAACACCAGUGGCGAAGGCGGCCUACUGGGCACUAACUGACGCUGAGGCUCGAAGGCAUGGGUAGCAAACAGGAUUAGAUACCCUGGUAGUCCAUGCCGUAAACGAUGAUUACUAGGUGUGGGAGGAUUGACCCCUUCCGUGCCGCA